rnacentral:rRNA from 1 species
AUACGGAGGGUGCAAGCGUUAUUCGGAAUCACUGGGCGUAAAGGACGCGUAGGCGGGUCGGCAAGUCAGAUGUGAAAUCCUACAGCUUAACUGUAGAACUGCAUUUGAAACUGCUAACCUAGAGUAUGGGAGGGGGAGAUGGAAUUAGUGGUGUAGGGGUAAAAUCCGUAGAUAUCACUAGGAAUACCGAAAGCGAAGGCGAUCUCCUGGAACAUAACUGACGCUAAGGCGUGAAAGCGUGGGGAGCGAACAGGAUUAGAAACCCUAGUAGUCC